CUGGUCCUUUGGUUCUGGAUCUUUGGUUCUGUGGUCAUUUUAGGUCAAGACUUCUUCUUUUGCUCCUGCUCUAGCUAUGUAACUUUUGCAUUUUCUGGAACACCAUUCUUAAUCACUCUGUUAAUAAGAGAUGGGGUCAGUUGAACCGGUCCAGGAGGGCCUGCAGUUACACUGUUAACAUUGAUUAUUCCUUGAAUAGUCAAGUUAGGGGAAGUGAUUUCUGCAGUAGGUGACUUGACACUGGUGCACAUAAAAGCUCAUGACAGGGACACAUCUUGCUGGUACAGGAAUGUACAUGGAACUAUUCCAACAAGGGGAGCUGAGCCUAACAAAGAACAAAGUCUCCAUGUGUGCCUGCUGGGUAUGGAGGCUUUACCUGUUUUCCCUGUGUCUCCUUGGAGCAUGAGGACCAGGGACAUGGUGGGGGGCCAGGACAGAGCCAACAAGGCCUCUUGUGACUAGAGCACUCUACAGAGAUGCAAGAGAAGAGAAGGAGGCUGGCGUACUGGCGGUGCCAGGUGGUGGCAAGAGUGCAUAAGCAAUAGUUGUAGGUGAUGAGCUUCAGGUUGAAAGAAUGGGGAAAUGAAGGCCGAGGAGAAAAUUUGGCUUUGAGUCUCUUACAGUGAGAUACUGGCUCAGCAGCAAAA
rnacentral:lncRNA from 1 species